rnacentral:rRNA from 1 species
UACGUAGGGCGCAAGCGUUGUCCGGAAUUAUUGGGCGUAAAGAGCUCGUAGGCGUCUGUGCGUCCGCUGUGAAAACCCAGGGCUUAACCCUGGGCUUGCAGUGGAUACGGGCAGACUAGAGUGCGGUAGGGGUGACUGGAAUUCCUGGUGUAGCGGUGGAAUGCGCAGAUAUCAGGAGGAACACCGAUGGCGAAGGCAGGUCACUGGGCCGCAACUGACGCUGGAGGAGCGAAAGCAUGGGGAGCGAACAGG